AAGGGAGUCAAAUUAUUUAUAUACUCCAAUCAACUUGCCCAAGGAUCAAAAAGAAAUGCUGAAUAUGCAUCUUCAAAUUAUAAGAAGUUCUUAAACAUAAUGAAGCAGGGAAAACAACCAUAUUAGCACAUCAAAGAGAUAGAAUAGGAAUCAGUUUCAUAGCCAUAAAAAGCAGACCCCUUUGAAUUCAUGAAGUAUUUCAAGGAGGACUCGAGGCUGUAGAGAAAAGAGAGUGAGUAAUAUUUGUUGUGUUAAACCACUUGAUGUAAAAACGUAACUAAUUAGAUAGGGUAACAUUCAAAUAAUAUAAAUAUUGUUUUAGACACGUUCUUCAUGUGUAGGCAACAUUCAUUUUUUCCAUCAAAGCCUAACACGUGCAGAAUUUUAUUUAUAUAAGUGGCAUCAAAACUUUAACUCAGGACCUUUGCUUGCUCUUAUACCAUGUUGAACCACUAGACCUAAAAGUUUAAACAGUUAGAGAGGACAACAUUUACACUUUGCAAUGGGUAUUGAGUACUAAAAAUAAUAAAAUGAUGCCAACAGACGAUCAAACCCUUUGUAUGCCACAGGAUACAAGUACAACUACACAUAUUUAUGCAAAAUGAGGAUACAAUAAGGCAACUUGAAAAUACACUGACUGAGUUGUCAGUAGCGUCUCUUCAAGAGAUAGCUGUGCUGCAUAGGCUUUAUCACAGUCAACAGCUGGAAGCGCAAUUAAGUCCGUGGAUCUUAGCAUAAAAUUUCCAUGAUAAGACAUAAAACGAACACCUACAGAUAGAGAUAUAUUGCUAUCAAUAUCAGCAUAUUACCCCCACAAUAUUAUUGAUUUAUUUACAAUUAAAGCAGAAGCAAUGACAUUUUGCCACUGGAACCACAGAACAAGAAUUAAAAUUCACCUUUUCCACAUCUUAUGCGCAUGACAGCCUCCCAUGCAGUCUCUCUUGUAAGAUCUCUGGUUAACUCAUGUCUCAACUUAUCUCCAUGAAUGGUAGACUGGAAACUUGGAUAAUAAUAAACCUGACCACCAGUAUAUUUUGCCAGCGUUCCUAAACAAAGCAUUACAAGAUGAUAAUUUAAAAUAACAGGAAUCAAGAAAUAGCAAGCAAAUACCCAACAUGGACCAACUAAUUAUUUUAUAUUUCAGCAACCUAGAAAAGUAGAUAAGUUCAAUAGCAGAAGUUGCAAAAGAUUUGGGAAACUAUGAACAAGCACAGGAGGCUUUCGAUAACUGUACAAGAUAGAAACUUAGAACAUGAUAAUUAUUUGGCAACAUCUUGACACGACUUCAUGUGACGUAUUUGAGGGCUCUUCUCUAUUUAUUUGACUACGUAUGGUAACUCCAAAUACGGGGGGCUAGAAUUAAAAAGUCAGAAGAUUAGAUUAACUUCCUAAAUCCUACCCAAAAUUUUCUUCGACAUUACCCUUUGUUCUGAACCAAUAAGAAAAGACGACGCUAUGGUUUUUAUUGUCUUCUCUUCCUUACUGGCAUAAAAGAAAUAGGGGCAUGUCAAGGAGCCACCAUAUAUUUACAGUAUGCAACAAUUAUACACACACACACACACACAUAUUUCAGAAAUCAUGAGCACAAGACGCCUCCUCUUAGGAUGAAUGCAUCCUUCUCUAUUUUUAGGCAUAAGUCACAAAGGAGAAAAAUGAGAGGCAUUACAAGAGUACAACAUGUAUAUGCGCGUGCAUCACCUCAUAUUGACUCUACUCUUCCUUGUCCCUUCCCCCAUUCCCUUUCAAUGUGCUCGUACGGCUAUGCUAAGCUAAAAUAGUUACUUAAAAAAUACAAUUACGCCUUGUUUCGUAUAAAUGUAGUAUUGGUUAUAUGGUUACUUUCUUGCCACUUCAUUUGAUAAGUGGUUACUUAUGAGUGCGAUUAGAAUAACGAAUGAUAGAAAAGGAUAUUAGCAUGUUUUUAUGCAAUAAAGUAAUGUCAAAUUUUAAAGACGCUAUGUUUUAAUGAGUAUAUUAGGUUUCUAAUAUACAAGACAUUCCUUCCUCUUUUGAAAAUUACAAAUACCUCCCUAUCAGAAUAAAUUUUUCCACUUUACCCUUUUCUUAAUUUUUCUUAUUUGUGCUCAACAUUUUCUAUGUUCACGUGUUG
rnacentral:lncRNA from 1 species